rnacentral:rRNA from 1 species
AGUGAACGCUGGCGGUAGGCCUAACACAUGCAAGUCGAACGGCAGCACAGUAAGAGCUUGCUCUUACGGGUGGCGAGUGGCGGACGGGUGAGGAAUACAGCGGAAUCUACUUUUUCGUGGGGGAUAACGUAGGGAAACUUACGCUAAUACCGCAUACGACCUACGGGUGAAAGCAGGGGAUCUUCGGACCUUGCUCGAGUGAAUGAGCCGAUGUCGGAUUAGCUAGUUGGCGGGGUAAGGGCCCACCAAGGCGACGAUCCGUAGCUGUUCUGAGAGGAUGAUCAGCCACACUGGAACUGAGACACGUCCCAGACUCCUACGGGAGGCAGCAGUGGGGAAUAUUGGACAAUGGGCGCAAGCCUGAUCCAGCCAUACCGCGUGGGUGAAGAAGGCCUUCGGGUUGUAAAGCCCUGUUGUUGGGAAAGAAAAGCAGCAGGUUAAUACCCCGCUGUUCUGACGGUACCCAAAGAAUAAGCACCGGCUAACUUCGUG